AGAGUUUGAUCCUGGCUCAGGAUGAACGCUAGCGGCAGGCCUAAUACAUGCAAGACGAGCGGUAAUUUGAGUAGCAAUACUUGAACUAGAGCGUCGUAAGGGUGCGUAACACGUAUGCAAUCUGCCCGGAACUGGGGUAUAGCUCGGGGAAACUCGGAUUAACCCCCCAUAAGAUAGUAGAGUGGCAUCACUCAGCUAUUAAAACUCUGGUGGUUCCGGAUGAGCAUGCGGAUGAUUAGCUAGUUGGUGGUGUAACGGACCACCAAGGCAUGAUCAAUAGGGGAACUGAGAGGUUGAUCCCCCACACUGGCACUGAGAUACGGGCCAGACUCCUACGGGAGGCAGCAGUAGGGAAUAUUGGACAAUGGGUGCAAGCCUGAUCCAGCCAUGCCGCGUGCAGGAAGAAGGCUUUCUGAGUUGUAAACUGCUUUUGCCAGGGGAUAAAAAGUCCCUGCGGGGAAAAUUGAAGGUACCUGGUGAAUAAGCCACGGCUAACUACGUGCCAGCAGCCGCGGUAAUACGUAGGUGGCAAGCGUUGUCCGGAUUUAUUGGGUUUAAAGGGUGCGUAGGCGGUCUUCUAAGUCAGUUGUGAAAUACUUCAGCUUAACUGGAGAGGUGCAAUUGAUGCUGGAAGACUUGAGUACUGAUGAGGUAGGCGGAAUGGACGGUGUAGCGGUGAAAUGCUUAGAUAUCGUCCAGAACACCGAUAGCGAAGGCAGCUUACUAAGGAGUAACUGACGCUGAGGCACGAAAGUGUGGGGAUCAAACAGGAUUAGAUACCCUGGUAGUCCACGCCGUAAACGAUGAGUGCUAGGUGUCACGGGCUUUGACCCUCGUGGUGCCGAAGCUAACGCGUUAAGCACUCCGCCUGGGGAGUACGGUCGCAAGACUAAAACUCAAAGAAAUUGACGGGGGCCCGCACAAGCGGUGGAGCAUGUUGUUUAAUUCGACGCAACGCGAAGAACCUUACCUGGGCUAGAAAGUACAGGAAGUCGGUCGAAAGGUCGAUGUGCCCUUCGGGGAACCUGUGGUUAGGUGCUGCAUGGCUGUCGUCAGCUCGUGUCGUGAGAUGUUGGGUUAAGUCCCGCAACGAGCGCAACCCCUGUUGUUAGUUGCCAGCAUUAAGUUGGGCACUCUAACAAGACUGCCGACCUUUAAGUCGGAGGAAGGUGGGGAUGACGUCAAGUCAUCAUGGCCCUUAUGUCCAGGGCUACAAACGUGCUACAAUGGUCGAUACAAAGGGUUGCGAACUCGCGAGAGGGAGCCAAUCUCAAAAAGUCGGCCUCAGUACAGAUAGGAGUCUGCAACUCGACUCCUUGAAGUCGGAAUCGCUAGUAAUCGCUGAUCAGCAUGGCAGCGGUGAAUACGUUCCCGGGCCUUGUACACACCGCCCGUCACACCAUGGGAGUCGAUUGCUCCAGAAGUGCCUGAGCCAACCGCAAGGAGGCAGGGCCCCAAGGAGUGCUCGGUAACUGGGGUGAAGUCGUA
rnacentral:rRNA from 1 species